CAAUUGAGUGUCGCAUUACCCUGGACACAGGUUACACAGCCCAGUCAGUCAAUGCACAGUUUAUUCAGUUUCAACUGAAGGGUUAAAAUUUCAAAAAGUUAGUCUCAAACAAAGUCCAGACAUUCCUGAGAGAAUUUGAGAUAGGGCUCACCGGCCCGACUAUCAGCUCCCAAGGACACUGGCCAUCUGGAGCCACCCCCUCCCCUUCCUUCACUCCCUGCUGCAGUGAGAUGAGUUGCCCUGCCCACAUUGCUGAGAUGCUAGAUUACACUUAUGCUUUGUUGAUGUAACUCCGUGCCAAAAGUAACUGUGCACCCUUUGUAUUAGCCAAUUAUGUGUAUCCACACGAAACCCCUGGUUUUCCCUAUAUAAGCUCCUGCCUAGAGAGGCUCAGGGCUUGACUCAAUCUCCUGUGUGGGAUAUGUGUCAGCCCGAGAUCUCGUAAAUAAAACUGCCUCUUGCUGAUUACAUCAAGACCGGCUACUCGUGUUUCCUGGGGGUUCCCCUACCCGUGACUGGAGCGAGAGUCUCCCCAAAAUCUGGGGGUCUUUCAUUGGGGGCUCGUCCGGGAUAGGAGCGUGACCCCCGGAGACCCGAAUGCCUCUUGGAGAUAGUGGAAGUAGGGACGCCCCAUCUCUGGGAGACGUUCCAAGAGCCGAAUAUUGUCGGGAGAACCCAGCGACUGACAGUCGAAAAGAUCUGACUGUGACUUGACUUCGGAGGUUGCGUUCGGCUGCCUAUUUAAGUAUAGGACAAGUGUGCUUAGAUGUGUUAGUGUCUGUUGUCUGUAUUCUGUUUCUGUGUUUGGUAUCCCAGAAGCAGAUAAGGUUAAGCUGCAGUUUGGGCCAGGUACUGAAGGUACCAGGCAUCUGUGGAAAUUGGUUAUAGGAUGCUUUGUCUUGGUCUUGUUUGUUUGUCUGGCUUGUUUUCUUUGGUAUUGUCCAGUGUCUUUUUGGCUUUUGUUUCGUUUUUGGACUUGGACUGACGACUGUGUUUGAAAUCAUGAAACUGUUUGCUUUGUUUUUCAAGGAUUUUUACUUGGUCUUCUUGGUGCUUAACUUAAAAGUUAAAAAUAAUUUGCUUGAGAGAAAUUGUUUUCUGCUGGGGAGUUUUAUCUUUCUCUCUUGAGCCUCCUCCCCAAGGAGAGCUGCCCCUCUCUUUACUCCCAUUGUCCAGCCCAGCUGCUGUUAACCGUUGUGUAUGAAGAACUCCAGGUUAGUGAAUGACCCUGUCUGAAGCAGGCAUUAACAAGAAAGCUUUACCUUAGAUCCUGAAGAAAAAUUCUCCCUUUUGCUUAAACAUUCACAGCUUCUAAGGAAGGGACAACACAGAGUAGGAAAAUGUAGGGGCUGAGGGUGGUGAGCAUACAGGCCUGCUAGCAAGCUGCGCGUGGGCAGUGGCGCAGCUCAGGCCAAGUCAGAGUAAGAGGAGUUUCAAGGUGAUGAGGCCGGCUGGGGUUGGCGCUUUGACAACAAAAAGAUAGCGUAGAGUUAGUGGUUGUAUUAUGAGAUUUUUGGCCCUAAAAAAAAAAAAAAAAAAAAAAAAAUUCCAGUUGCUGCCUUCAGUGGCCAGACCUUCAACACUUGCUUGCAAAAGGAGAGUGUUCAUUAAGAGAAGUUCUUUAAAAGAGCCUGCCUUAUCUGCUGGCCCUAUUCCAAAAGAGGAGUUGAUCUCCAACAUUAAGUAACCUUCCCUGUUAGUCAUCAUUGACAUGGAGAGUGCCUUUGAUCCUAUCCCCACAGCAGCCAGUUCCUGCCCCUGUGGUCAAAAUGCCCCAGGUUGGGGGGCAGAGAAGCCCCUAAAAUAGUUUCAAAGAAUCUGCAACAAACUGUGAAGAACUUUGUUUUGCCAGUCAAAAUUUAGAAUUCAGGCUUUGGCUGUGGCCAAGGUCAGGAUUAAUGUUUUCUUUUCCAUGGGCCCUUAGCCCACUGAGACAGUUUGGUGAAGGACUACUACUGCAGUCCUGAUAUUCAGAGACAUGGAGAGAGCUAUAGUUUUUUUUUUUAUUAAAGGUUGGUACUAUAGUAUUAACAAUCUCUUUAUUAGAUGUAAGAGACAAGAAGCCCCAGGUGAACUGGUUACAAUUCUUUUGUCAGCUGCUUAGUAUCUAACACUCAGGUUCUAACCGUCUCUCCAUCCUUUUGUUGUUAUUAGUUCUUACUAGAAGCCUAGUGUCCUUCAGAGGCUGGGUUUAUUGAGAGACAGAGCCACUGAGCUGGCACUAAAGGAAGGUACUCCUUAAGGGAAAAUCUAAGUCCAGAGAGACAGCCGGUAACAGAUAGGCUGCCCCUCUGCUCACUUUUCUGUUUCACAGACACAAGGCCUUUUUGUCCCAAGAAAGCCUCCUGGCUUAGCUGUGUGACUAAAUGCUAUUUGUCCUCUUCAGUGGACCUUUAUUCUCGAGAUUCCCUUGUUUUCUCACCAUCCCAUUUGAGAUGCUUGUUAGUAACUGUUACAGGUCUUCUUUACCACCGAGGAAAGAUGGAAUCCUACUAGAGGCCAGAAAAAAUGUUCCAGACAUGGAUGGAAGGCCCUCACUUCUGCCUGUUGACUUCAAAACGCCUAAAGGUAGGGAGUGCCAGGUCUGCCGCCAGGCUCCAAGGGUGGGUCUCUGAGGGGCUAGAAAAUGCCCCACCAAUCUGGCUAAGAUAAGGAAAGGAUAUAAAGAGAAUGUUACAGAAAUUUAAAGGGUUAAGUUAAGUUGCUGAGAGUUAGUACAAGUUACAGAGAAAGAGGUAAAAAGAACAGGAAGCUAGGGAAGAAAAGACAAAAAGAAGUUAGAGAGCUAAAGAGAGAUAAAAGACAAGAGAGGAACAUAUACUGGCCACAGUAGUUAGGGAACCUAGGAAGAUAGUACCUGGCAACAGAAGAGAAUUCCUGGCUAAAGAUCAGUGUGCCUAAUACGAAGAAAAAGGACACUGGGUCAGGGACUGCCCAAGAAAGAACAAGAGGGGCCACUGGAGAGCUUCUUGGUCCUAGAGUGCUGGCUAUGUACAGAGAUAGAAGGGAAGUGUGGAUACAGGGACCCAAUGCUCUGUGCUCCUAUGCCCCCCCCACAGUGGGCCAAUAUCCAAAGACCUUGAGUGCAAGGGCUACUGGCAACGAACAAUACUUAUGGACUGCCCGAAGAACAGUGGACCUUGGCAUGGGACAGGUAACCCACCCACUAGUUCAUGGUCAUCCCUGACUGCCCCUAUCCCUUGCUCAUGAGAAAAUUGCUCUCCAAAAUGGCUUACAUGGGCUAAAAUGGCUGGGUGAGGCCAUGUGUAUGCAUAUCUACAGACUGUGUAUGUGGAGCUUAAGACCUGUCUCAGUGCACCAGUACCUGAUGCUGGGAGAUGUGUGUGUGUGUGGCUUAGUGCCGUUCUGCCUGGAACACAUCAUUUCUGCCAGCUGGGCUCUGACAACUAUCACCCAAUCCAGGACUUAAACUGCGGUAGAGUGGCUGAUGUUUUGCCUUUAAAUGAAAUGUCCCAGAGGAUGGGAUCACUGAUCAGCUGACAUGGACUAGAUUCUCCACCUGUUGGGGGCAAUCUGGUCACCUUGCUGCCCAAUCCUGACCUGGAGCCACCACAGCACAAGUGUCAAGCACUGGCAGAAGCCCAUGGGUGGAGGAAAGACCUCUGCGACUGGCUGAUUGACCCCUGCUGAAAGCCGAGGACCUUGUCCACAGACGGGAACAGUUCUCUUCAUGAAGGUCAGAGAUAAGUGGGUGCUGCCGUGGUGGACAGCACAAUGUCAUCUGGGAUGGCUGAACUUCUACCCCCCAGCACAUCAGCGCUGCAGAUGCCUUUACCAUCUCUUGGAUGCCCUGGUGAAGCCAACAACUGUGAGUACUAUUCAUUGCUCAGGAUAUCAGAAGGAAGAGAUUCAGUGGCAUGGGACAGUAACAAAGCAGAUAAAGUGGCUCGGAAAAUGGCUAUGCAGGAGCCUAUCCUGGUUACAGGCGUACAAGAGACAGCCACUGGGAACUGGGAUUGGACUAAGGGAUGGCCUCACUUAAAAUGUACAACAGAAGAAAAGGCCCAAAUUGCUUAAACGAAAAAGAAAAAAAAAGAAAAAAAAAGACAAUGACACACUUGAGGGAAAACUAUAUUCCUCAGAGAAAAAUAUGUCAGUAAGUAAAUGCUUAGCAAGAAAACAGGACAAAGAGAACCUAGAGAGUUUAGUCAAAAGUCGAAGUGAACUUCACUGAGAUAAAACCAGGAAAAUAUGAUCACAAGUAUCUCCUAGUGCUUGUAGAUACCUUUCCAGGAAUAGACAAAAACUUUCUUCACCAAACAAGAGACAGCCUCUACAAUCAUCAAGAAGAUACUGGAAGAAAUCUUUCCCCCCCGAUUUGGAUUGCCCAAGGUAAUCUGGUCAGACAAUGGCCCUACUUUCCUUGCCAAGGUAAGCCAGGGUGUGGCCAAGUAUUUAGAGGUCGAUUGGAAAUUACAUUCUAUUUACAGACCUCAAAGUUCAGGACAGGUAGAGUAAAUAAAUAAAACUCUAAAAGAGACCCUGAACAAAUUGACCAUGGAGACUGGCACAGACUGGGUGACACUCCUUCCCUUUUGCUCUCUUCAGAGCAAGAAAUACCCCUUCCAGAUUCAGCUUUACCCCCUUUGAGAUCUUAUAUGGGGCCUCAGAUCCUCU
ensembl:lncRNA